rnacentral:rRNA from 1 species
AUUGAACGCUGGCGGCAUGCCUAACACAUGCAAGUCGAACGAGUGGCGGACGGGUGAGUAAUAUCUGGGAACCUGCCCGAUGGAGGGGGAUAACUACUGGAAACAGUAGCUAAUACCGCAUACCAUCAGAUGUGCCCAUAUGGGCUUAGCUUGUUGGUGGGGUAAAGGCUCACCAAGGCCACGAUCCCUAGCUGGUCUGAGAGGAUGACCAGCCACACUGGAACUGAGACACGGUCCAGACGCCUGCGGGAGGCAGCAGUGGGGAAUAUUGGACAAUGGGGGCAAACCUGAUGCAGCCAUGCCGCGUGUAGGAAGAAGGCCUUCGGGUUGUAAAGUACGUUCAGCGGGGAUGCGGUACCCGCAGAAGAAGCACCGGCUAACUACGUGCCAGCAGCCGCGGUAAUAC